CCAGGGUGGGGGCCUGGCGGGCGGAAGUCAGGCCGUGCAGAUCCAAAACGGCCUGGUUCAGGGUCUUCUCCAUGAGAACUGCAGCUUCCAGAGCGUCCUGGGUUUUUCCACACUCGUCUUGAGAUGGCUUCUGCUUGUCCUGCAUUUUCAAAAGACGCUAGCUGCCCUGGCGCUUCCCCUCCACCAAGUCGUGGAAAAAGUGGCCCAUCAUCGCCAUCAAAGAUAGAAGCCCAGAGAUAGGUAUUCUCAUUUAAGUAAAGGAGCGGACUGUGGUGAAGUUUGCUUCUGGAACAUGAGGAGGAAUUACGAGAAGAUGUUGGGCAUCCCAGGGAAUCUAAAGUGUCAUUUCCUUUCUGGAAGAAAGGAAGCACAAAACAUGCUAGGCUAUCUUUUCAUACUCACCAAUCACUCUACUUGGACCAACUUCAAGGGCUGAAAAGCUUUGUUUACGAUCCUGGUUCUAAUGACACCAAAUUAUCUAUAAAGUUUGGUAGCCACUAAACGUGGUUUUUGAGCACUUGAAAUGUGGCUAGUCCAAAUUAAGAAGUAAGUAUAAUAUACACAUUGAGUUUUGAAGAUGUAGAUUAAGAAAGAACAUAAAUUAUCUCUAAUUUUUAUAUUGGUACAGGUUAAAAUGGUUAUUUUUGAUAUACUGGGUAAAUAAAACGUAUCAUUAAAAUAGAUUUCAUAUUUCUUUAACGUUUUUAGUGUUGGCUACUGGUGUUUUAAAAGUUAGAAAUGUUCCUCACAUUGUAUUUUUGUUGAAUAGUGUUGCCCUAGCCAUUGGUCUCUCUUAAGCAUCAGACUUAGCCCAAAACCUGAAAUACAAUGUGUUAAUGAAUAUACUGAAUAAGUAAAUAUGUGUGUAAAACAAAAACUUCUGAUAAAUUAGAAUACAUCUCACAAGAAUUAUACAGGAAUUUUGUUAAAAUUUUCUUGAGA
rnacentral:lncRNA from 1 species